UACGUAGGGGGCUAGCGUUGUCCGGAAUCAUUGGGCGUAAAGCGCGUGUAGGCGGUCCGGUAAGUCCGCUGUGAAAGUCGAGGGCUCAACCCUCGAAUGCCGGUGGAUACUGUCGGGCUUGAGUACGGGAGAGGCGAGUGGAAUUCCUGGUGUAGCGGUGAAAUGCGUAGAUAUCAGGAGGAACACCGGUGGUGUAGACGGCUCUCUGGACCGUAACUGACGCUGAGACACGAAAGCGUGGGUAGCAAACAGG
rnacentral:rRNA from 1 species